ACAAAUUCCAUUACCAAUAAAAUAUCAUAUUUAGCAUCCUGUCAUUUGUGAAUAUACACGUACAUCUUUUUUCAUUUCAAUACAUAUAUAUAAUAAACAAAAGCAACUUCAAAUAUAUACACACACAUUAUAAUUAUAUAUUAAAUAAUAUAUUUGAAGCUCCUCUUGUUUCUUAACUUUUCCCAUAAAGUGAGGUUACACUAUAUGGAUAGACUAUUACAAAACAGUCAUUAAUUAUUCCAAGAAGAAAAAUAAAGACAACAAUAACGAAAAAGAAAAAAUAUGAAACUCCAGCUCCCUCCGGUUUCAAAACGAGAACUAGGACAUUUUAACCAAGAAGCACGCUAUAUACCACGUACAAUACUGAUGCCACUGUGCCCAGCGAUCCGAUCCAUUACCUAAACAGUUCGGUUCAACGACCACGACCGAACAGUGUUUCGUGACGAGAGCAGCGGAACAAUGAAAAGUGCUGUUCUAGUAUCGAGGACAAAUAUUACUUUCCAAGAGGAGAGUCGAAGCACGACGAGCGUCGAGGAUCCACGGUUUGUCCUGUGUAACUGUUCCAAAGAUUCUUUCGUCGCGGUCCGCUUGGCACGAGAAGUCGGCCGUGAUCGUUGCCCGUCUAGGAUCAAAGUUAAGGCCACGCUGCGGGAUUUCCUCGAGCGCGGGAAACACGCUCGCGGACGGCAGAUUAAAGACGUAUCAGCGUUUUAUGAGAUUUUAAUGAGCAAACGAGUUUGCCGAGCGAGCCGUUGCUCUUGUUCUGCAACGACGGCGGCCGUCGGAUCAGCGAAGCGUGGUCCGGCGCGUUGGCCGCCGUUUUAUAAAACGCGAUGUGCUCGCCGACCGAGCAAAGUUGGCAUAAAUUUGCAUCCGCGCGAUAAUCACACGGGAAAAUCGUUAAAAAGUCAUCCAUCUCGAACAGAAGUUUCAGGGACCUCAAAAGCCCAAAUGGCAGCGGGAUUUUUUAACCCGCGCUUUUAAGAACGUUUUGACAAAACGAUUUACCUGGCCGCUUAUUGUUCUCAAACGUUCUAUUGAAAUUUUCGGCUAUUUGUCAGACUGCGAUACUUGCCGGUUUUUGAAAAAGGCACUUUAGAAAGUAUUUUAGUAUUUUAUCGCUCUUACUGUAUCGCAAAAAUUUGUUAACUGUGACGUAUACCGUGAGAGUAAUAUUCUUUGAACUCUUCGAACAUCGUACAGAUUACAUUGCCAUAUAACACACGAUUAACAGUUUCAUUUUCAAGAUUGCAUCAGCGUUUAGGUUUGGUAACACAUUGUGUAGGAGGGCGCUCUGCGCGCUCAACGCGCUCCCAGGGCCUGCACAUUUUGGAACGCUCCAGUAGCAUGCUUGCAUAUGUGCAGAUUUUUAAUUUGUAUUUGGUAUUAUAGUUUUUAUUCAGUCUCCUUCAGUUCCUUUAUAUCUAUGUGUUAUUUGGCUACUUUUAUAGAAUUACGACUUAUUUCAUAAAAUAAUUCGUGUUAUAAAUGAUUAGUAACAGAUUGAAAAUUUAAAUGAUUUUUAACAAUCUGUUUUCUUACAAAUUAAAACACGAACCUUGAAAUAACAAAAUGUACAAAAAUAAAACACUUUAUGAGAUACGGUAGACGAUCGGCGCAGAUCUACCGAUGUACUGGCUAUACUGACUGAUUGUUUUUACUUGGAAUGUCAACACUCAGUUGUUUUGCCACAAGAAUGCGCAAGGCUUUAUUACCCUGGUAACGUAACAAAAACAUUCGCCUCUGGUUGCUUAAGCCAUCGAUUCAGUCGAAAAAACAUGGAAACUAGAUAUCUCGUGACUCAGCCACAACGUUCGGCUUGCUAAAAACGAGAUAGCUCGUGACCCGUACACAAUGUGUUAAUAACAUCGACACGAGCGAGAGAAGCGGCUGCAUGGUAUUGGUAUACGUGUUCUACUAUACACAUUAUCAUGCUUUCUCUCUUUUCUUUAUUAAAAUAUGUCCUCUAAACAUUCCACGUUAUUUUUACUUUUAAAGAAAAUCCCAAAGAAAUUCGUCUCUUCGUCAAAUAUACUUCACGAAGAUUAACAUUGCGUUCAACGAGGCAAAAUUGAUUCGCACACUUUCACUGUGCCCGCUCGCAAAGAAGCUGUCUUCUACUACGCGUAUCGGACUAUCCAAUGCAAUUGCAUACCGGUACAGCCCUUAUUUUCUGCAAAGGUGCCCGCGGAACCCUUCAUUCCUCUAUCUCGGCUAAUUUAAUAGCGUAUCGGGAAGGAGUAACGACUGGCGGAAAAAGCGUGCAGCUAUUUGCACGCCGGUGUCGCGGCUUUUUACCGCGCCGAUCGGUCGAGUGGUACGCGAGGGUUGCGCGACCGUGCGAGAAGCGGCGCGAUAGCUCGCACGCAGGGCCACAGUUUAUGUGGGCUUUUCGAGAUGGUGAUCCGAGAUGUGCGGCGUGCGUGCGUCAUGCGGAUCAGUACCGGAUAUCCGUGAGGCGACUACAGCCGAGGCGGGAUAUGCGGGCGCAGUUGUACCGAGCCGUGCGGAGAAGAGUAUAUACAGCGACUUAAAAACUGUUGCAACAUCCUUCGAAACUUUCGACUAACUUCUCCAACACAUCGAGGACAAAUUCGCGUCUUAUGAUAUAUAAUUAACCACUUCAAUAAUUUUUAGACUCCUUUGUCAUUUUUAAGUAAAUGAAUAUUACUCCUCGAUACUUGGAAAAAUGCCCGUUAGAUAGCGUGUAGGUUGGUUUGUUGUAGGUUGGAAACGUAUGGCUCGCUGUGGCGCGCGCAGUUGGCUAAGUGUUAACCCUUUGCAUUCGGAAUUUUAUUUCAAUUUCGUUAUCAGCAGCUCCCAACGCUUUUAAGUGUUUUAAUUGAAAUUUACUUUAUCUAAAACAUAAGACAAUUUAAAUAAAUAAAGGAAGAGAGAAAUUCACUUAAAUACCAGUUUUAUUCACACUAUUGUUGUAUUUUCUAAUUUUUAAGUGUACGAUAUAUCUUGAAACAAUUUCCAGGAUGCAAUCCUGGUUUUCUUUCGCAUGUUUUAUAAAAAACAUGAAAGAAUGUCGAGUGGGACUCGACAAAGGAGCUCCUGAGAUAAAAACUGAUGUCGAGUCAUACUCGAUAUAGGAGUGCAAAGGGUUAAAAGAGAAAGAGGCAGGAAGAAAAGUAGGAGAGAAUGGAAAUUUGGAUGUGUGGUAGAGAUUAGGGCGAAGGUGACAGCGGAGGUGAGGAGGUUAAGGGCGUCGCGAGAGAACAGAUACACGUGGAAUUGAGGAGCAGUUCAGGUUAUAUUGCCCUGUUUCGCCACCUAUCCGCGGAAUUUAGUUUCAGAAAUCUGUCACGUGGUUCAGUAAUGGAGUGCGUAGCUAACUACAAGCGACGGCGAGUAUAUUCGUCAAACGCAUUCAAUGCGUUCAGUUCAAAUUUAUUUCGAAUCCAGUUCGAAAUAUCGGCAACAGGAAAAGUAGUUCUCUGUACGUAGCUUCGAUAAUGCAACAAAAGUGUCAACGCUUGGACCACCAUUUUGCCAACCCAAUACUUGUCGAAAUACUUGCGGACGAUGGUGUAUGUUGGAUCGUUUGAAAGGACGCAACGACGACAUUCCGCGGAUGGAAAAGAAGGAGAGUUUACGACUCGGUCGUGCGAUUUGACGAUAUUCCGAGAGAAGUGUGUGACGGGCAUAAAUUUCGUCGGCGAGAGAUCGAUAAACGUUGCUUUAUGGUUUCCUUGAUUUCGCUCGUUUACUCUGUGCUCACGGUGGAACACGAGGAAAGUAAUCGAGAAGGUUUUAUCGUCGACACGAAGGGGGUCCCUUCGUUUCAACGUUCAUUGUUUAAUUGUUCGCGUUUUAUUCGCAGAGAUUCGUAAGAUGGAGAUCCUCCGGCUGCUUUAAAUCAAUAUACACCGGUGCGUACAGACAAACGAGGAAAGUGUUCGUAACAGAGAAGCGAAUUGUUCGACCACCUGCCGCUUUGCUGUUCCAAUGUUUGAACAUUUUACUAUUACAGUCGAGUCUGCUGUAACUCGAGCCUCAAGGGAAGACCUGCAUUCUUCGAAUUACAGAAGUUUCGACUUAUCAAAAUUUCCAGUAAAACAGGCAUAGCAAAGGAAAAUUCGACAUACAGAAGUUUCAGACAAAGGGAAAAUUCAAGAGUGUUUGUAGAAAACACUAUGAUGGUGUUACAGUGUUGUCUUUGUAGAAAAAUAUAUGGACAAAUAAACAUUAGUUAACUA